UGCGGGAAUAGCUCAGUUGGUAGAGCACAACCUUGCCAAGGUUGGGGUCGCGAGUUCGAGCCUCGUUUCCCGC
rnacentral:tRNA from 1 species